rnacentral:lncRNA from 1 species
AGAAAUUGGUAUUUAACGGCCUAUCCCCAAAAAUUAAUAGCUAUGAUACAUAAAAGGUAUAGCAAAUUUUUGAAAACAGAAAAAAUUACGAUAGGUUUCUUUGAGUGGUUAAAACAAAUUCUUAUAAAUAAAGGAGUAUCAAUUCCAAACUUUGAUAAUGAAAUAAAUAAGAUAAAUAUUCUUGAAAAACAAUAUCAAACCUUUAAUUAAUUAGAAGGAGAAAUUAUUCAAAGUAUACAUCCUCCUGAAAAAAGUCUAUAUAUUAAAGGAUCUUCAAAAGACAAAUCAGACAUCAAAAUACUAAAUGAGACUAGAGCUGCCCCUUAUAAGAUAGCUAUAAGUGAUCAAAAAAUAGACUUACUACCACAUAUUAUAGAACAAAAUAAUUAUACAAAUUUAUAUCUAACAACCUUGGGAAAACAAAC